GGAAUAAGGUGUUCAUGGUUGUCUGAGAUUUAUUGAUUUUAUUAUUACUUUUUUUUUGUUUUUUUUGUAGAAAUUACUUUUUGUUCUGUUACAGUUUGGCAAUGGUAUCUGACACUGUCUCUCCUUUUUAAUAGCUAGUGAGGAGAUGCUCAAUGACGCCACUAUUACUAAGUUAGAAUUGAUGAAUUUGCACCAUGAUCUGUUUUAAUGCUACAAUCUCAUGAAGGAGAACACCG
rnacentral:lncRNA from 1 species